CUGGCGGCGUGCCUAACACAUGCAAGUCGAACGAAGCUUGACGAACGAUUCUUCGGAUGAAUUCUGAUAUGACUGAGUGGCGAACGGGUGAGUAACGCGUGAGGAACCUGCCUCAAAGAGGGGGACAACAGUUGGAAACGACUGCUAAUACCGCAUAAGCCCACGGCUCGGCAUCGAGCAGAGGGAGAAGGAGCAAUCCGCUUUGAGAUGGCCUCGCGUCCGAUUAGCUAGUUGGUGAGGUAACGGCCCACCAAGGCGACGAUCGGUAGCCGGACUGAGAGGUUGAACGGCCACAUUGGGACUGAGACACGGCCCAGACUCCUACGGGAGGCAGCAGUGGGGAAUAUUGCACAAUGGGGGGAACCCUGAUGCAGCGACGCCGCGUGGAGGAAGAAGGUCUUCGGAUUGUAAACUCCUGUUGUUGAGGAAGAUAAUGACGGUACUCAACAAGGAAGUGACGGCUAACUACGUG
rnacentral:rRNA from 1 species